UUAUUUUUUUAGGUUUUGUUUUUUUCCCUCUUCAUAAGAAAAUCAAAACCUAAAGAAAAUG
rnacentral:pre_miRNA from 1 species